rnacentral:lncRNA from 1 species
ACCCACCGGAGCCCUGAACGCUGGGACAACAACAAUCCCAACAAUCCCAACAAUGCCAACGAUUUCGUUCCAUUACGCGUCUUCCCAGACCCGGAUUCCUUCCCUACAGAAACACUGAAGUCUUAGCUAUUCCAAAGAAGCCACAUAGCCCUUCUGAUAUGUUUAUCUCAUCCAGCUUUUCUGUUAGAGGGCUUGAUUUUCUUUAAAAACAGCCUUUUGUCUCCUGUUUCUCAAAUCUGUUUUCUUCCCCACAGCUGAUUACCGCAGUCUUUUAGAUGGUACUUCCGUCAGCAGAGAGAGCUCGCCUGGACUUUUUCUUCUCCGGAACAUUCUCUAAAUGAACUCCUGAAAAGCCAGGAGAGAGGGCAGACCAUCCAUUUCUCGUGACCUCUAGAUCCUGUGUCGCUGAUGAUCUGGCGGGCCGUCUGGGGACGGAGGAGUAAGACACGAUACAGGUCUCCUGGACCCCUUCUGAGCGCCAGUGCCCGACCUCCGGGGGUUGUGCCCCCGCCGAGCUCCCAGCCCCGUGUCGAGGCCAGCUUCGUUGAUCAUGAAGAUACUCCUCAGCACUCCCAGACGUGUCAGGACGAAAAGGUCAUCGGCUCAGAAAAAUAAAGGGGUAGAACAAGGCGGGGAACGUACGGGUCCCCUCUGAGGUGGCGAACACCCUGAAUUACACGAUCUUUCACGACUACGGCCCGUCGUCGUUGGCAUGAGGGAAUUCAUUAGAGCCACGUUUCUUGAGCCUGUGGUUUACAGAAAUGACUGCUUUUAAGCUGGCUUUCCCCUUUGCGGGGAGCUGUUCCUCCAGAAACAAUUACGCCUUGAUCCUGACUCAACUAAGCCCAGUUUAGGGACAUUAUGAUUGGCAAUCGUCGAUCAUAACUGGCUCACCAUUCGGUGUUCUUUCUCUCUUGUGCAGAGACGUCUGCACGGUCCCUCUGCAGGAAGGGGACGUGAAAAACAGCUCCACCCUUUCGAUGAAGAGGGGAGAAUUGAGGCCGUCUGCUUUUCCCAGGAGCAGGGAAGGGGAGAUGUGACGGGCAACAUCUUCUGCCCAGACACCCUUUCGGCCACCUGCGCGCUCCAAACGGCUCCCGGGGGCGCUGAGAUUUCAAGAUGGCACCUUGACCUCAGACUUGCAGCCUCCGGAACGGGGAGGAACCAGGGUCUGUUGUGUCUAUGCUGCUCAGGACGGGCUUUGUUUGCGGCCGCAGCCCGAGGGACUGAGACCUGACUACAGGGUUCGGGUUGUGUGUCCCGGGCACGGUGGGUACUUUUCGGCAGAGUCGCUUUGGACACAGUCCGUGCCCACGAUUUCCAGACGUGUCUGGUGGCCGGCUCAUCCGCAAGGAGUUGGUAGUAA